rnacentral:rRNA from 1 species
AGCGAACGCUGGCGGCAGGCCUAACACAUGCAAGUCGAGCGGCCGUAGCAAUACGGCAGCGGCAGACGGGCGAGUAACACGUGGGAACGUACCCCUUGGUUCGGAACAACACAGGGAAACCUGUGCUAAUACCGGAUAAGUCCGUAAGGAGAAAGAUUAAUCGCCGAAGGAUCGGCCCGCGUCUGAUUAGCUUGGUGGUGAGGGAACGGCUCACCAAGGCAACGAUCAGUGGCUGGUCUGGGAGGAUGAUCAGCCUCACUGGGACUGGGACACGGCCCAGACUCCUACGGGAGGCAGCAGUGGUGAAUAUUGGACAAUGGGCGCAAGCCUGAUCCAGCCAUGCCGCGUGGAUGAUGAAGGCCCUAGGGUUGUAAAGUCCUUUCGGCGGGGAAGAUAAUGACGGUACCCGCAGAAGAAGCCCCGGCUAACUUCGUGCCAGCAGCCGCAGUAAUAC